rnacentral:lncRNA from 13 species
CUUCUCCAGCAUGGCUAAGCAGAGGGUGAACUGUCUCGUUUAAAACAGCCCCAUAACUCCUGGAGAAAGCAGCAGUUUCUUCAAACAGAACCAGCCUGUUUGUCUGCAGGAGACGUGAGAUGUCCACCCAUGACGUGCGCAUCUGCCUGCCAGUCCUGCAGUGUCUCUCUGCCUCUCUGCUCCUGUCCUCUCCAGAUCAUAGACUCCAUUAACAUCCCAGGCAGUUGGGGAAAACAAAGCUAACAUGUGCCAACAGAAGUGAAGAGAGGAGACACUCCUUUUAAAUGACAACCACAUUUCAUUGGGGGGUAGAAAAACAGACAGACAGACAGACAGACAGACAGACAGACAGACAGACAGACAGACAGCAGUGUCAGCACAAUCCUGUCUCUCAUCUCUCACUGGCUCACACACAAUUAAAUACAUCAUGUCUGCUCCCCUCUCCUGUUUCCUUAUCAAGUAUACACUGGUAUACCUGCAUAUCAAGUAUACACUGGUAUACCUGAAUAUCAAGCAUACACUGGUAUACCUGAAUAUCAAGUAUACACUGGUAUACCUGAAUAUCAAGCAUACACUGGUAUACCUGAAUAUCAAGUAUACACUG